CCUCGGACCAGAUGGGCGACCGACACAACUUCCCCUUGAACCGACCCAACUGGGACCCCAACACCUUUAAAGACUUAAAGCUCUUAAAAAAACUCAGUGAUACCUGUGGAAACAGCUGGCCACUGCCUACCAACCUGGGGACGAAGGAACUCCACACCGAUAUCAAAUGGAAAACUUCAUCUACGUAAGAUGACAUCAAGUGUCAUCCCUAGAACCCCGCUGAAAAAGACCAUACCAGGUGCUACUUAUAACACCUACAGCUGUAAAAGUAAACGAAAUCACUUCCUGGAUCCAUGCCUCUCAUCUCAAGCCUGCACCCUGUCCAGGCUCUGGCUGAAAAUUAAAAAAAAACUGGUAACCCUCUCAAAUUGCGUAUUCGCCGUGUGGAUGGGGCUAUGGACUCUCCCCUUGACCACCAGUAGUCCUAACCCUCAUCAGCCCGUUCAGCAGCAAUGGCUGAUCACAAAUCCUACUGGACAAAAAGUAUGAUCUAUCUCACAUACAGCCCCCUUAGGGACCUGGUGGCCAUCUCUCCACCCAGACAUUUGUCAGUUGGCUAUAUAUAGGUCUUUCCUAUUGGGUAUCCCUGAUAAAAAAAAAUCCCACUAAAAUUCCAUUAAAUCCCUUCCGUACCAUAGAUAAUAAAAACAAACAUUAUGGAUGUAGGGACACUCAAGCCAGAUGCAGGUUGGCUAACCUAAAUUACUAUGUUUGCCUGGCGGACUAUCAAAGCCACAAACAGUCAUGGCUGUAUGAGAAAAAAACCGACUUCUUCUCUAAGUCAUAAGGAUGUAAACAUACAGGGGCUACCUGAUGGAACUCAAAUCUCCGCCGGUUCUCAGACCAUUGCCCCCUUGCUGAAGUAACAGGUACUGAGGUAUCUCUCCACCCAUUCACUCCUCUCUUCUCCUGUCAGUGCCCACACCGGGUCCCAUCAGGUCCUCUUACCAGCUAACCCAAAGCUCAAACCAGCUGAGGAGAGCCCUCAGACCCCUAUCCAAGAUGUAAUAAAAAUGGCCUUUAAAGUUGCUUUGUCAUCACU